rnacentral:lncRNA from 1 species
UGAGGAUGCCAACUAAAUAGAUACUCUUGUACAACUAGAAAUGCUGAGGAUGCCAACUAAGUAGGUACUCUUAUGUCAACUAGUUAGAAAGUAUUGUGCAACUAGAAUUGCUGAGGAUGCCAACUUAUUGCAUACUACUGUGCAAGUAUAAAGUCUAAGGGUGCCAAAGAUACUCUUGGGCAACCCUCAAAUUUUUUGGAGAUAGGACUAAAUUAUAUACUCUUGUGCAACUAGAAAGGCUGAGGAUGUCAACUAGUUGUAUACUGUUCCUUGAAACUAGAAAUGCUGAUGAUGCCAACUAAAUGGAUACUCUUGGCAACUAGAAAUCUUGAGGAUACCAAGUCUGAAAAUAGUUAUUCCGCACUUGCAUGACGAGACAACAAAUCAUCACACCAUCACCAAACCAAAAACCGAGUUUAUAAAAAUGAUGUUGAUGCUGUUGAAAAUACUAGCUACAUUGAGUUCUGCAGAAAAAGUACUAAUCACAACUGUAUGAAAAUCCAGCUUUGCAUUGCAGUUCGUGAAGCCAUAAAAACUGAAUAAAAAAGGCUGACGACGCCAACUUAUAUUAUGUUAGUUGUGCAACUACAAAAUGCAGAGGAUGUCAACUAGUUAGAUGCUAUUGUGUAACUAGAAAAUGCUCAGGAUGCCAACUAAUUAAAUACUCCUGUGCAACUAGAAAGGCUGAGGGUGCCAAAUCAUUAGAUACUCUUGGGCAACCCUCAAAAAUUUGAAGAUGGGACUAAAAAAUAGUUUUCUUGUGGCUGAGGAUGUCAAUUAGUAGGAUACUGUUUGUGCAAGUAGAAAUGCUAAGGACGCCAACUAAUUGAAUACUCGUGUGCAACUAUAAAUCUUGAGGAUGCCAAUUAAUUAGAUACUCUUGGGAAAAGAACUAUUCAGCACUUGCAUGACCAAAUCAAAAAAUUGCACAUUCACCUGAGGGUGUCAAUGCAGCUACAAAAAUACUAGGAUGUCAACCAGUUGGAUGGUAUUGUGUAACUAGAAAUACUGAGGAUGCCAAUUAUCAGGUACUCUUGUGCAACUAGAAAAGACUGAGGAUGCCAACUCAUUUAUAUACUCUUUAGGACACAUCAUCAUCCUCUCCAUCCCCGUCAUUAUCAGCGCCACGUGGUUGUCGCUUAGCCGCCCGUUUUGAAUUCCGCCAAGAGGUCCUAUUUGGAGAACCCUACAAUGAAUAAAAAAUAUUGAACUACAAAGAGGGUAAAAGAAAAGAGUAUAAAUAAAUGGCCAUAGGAUAAAAGAAAAAGAAAAUAUGAACCUCUGUUUCACUAUCAAGCACAUUUCCUCUGGUUGCACAGUAAUGUAUCCCUAGUUGCGCAGGAUCCCAAACCCCAGUGAACUAAAAUAAAAUUAGUUGCCUAGUUUGCUUACAAAUUUGGGAUAGAUUGCACAGGAAUGCUCCUCAAGUUGCAUAGAACUGACACCAAAAACUGAUAUACAGAGAACGAGAAUUAUUUGCGUAGUUCGCUUACAAAUUGGGCUACAAAGAUAUGAUAGAUUGCUAAGGAACCCCUAGUUGCAGAGAACUAACAUAAAAAAACUAAUAUUCAGAGAAUAAAAUUUAUUUUGCCUAGUUUGCUUACAAAAUUUGUCUACCAGAUGUAAUAGAUUGCAUAGGAAGGCAUCCUAGUUGCACAGGGAAGCACCCCUACUUGCACAGAACUAACAACAAAAAACUGACUUAAAAAUUUGGCUAGUGGCUAUGAUAAAUUGCACAGGAACAGGGCCCUAGUUCUAAAAAAACAGACUAACUACACAUAGCAAUUCCUCCUCUUAAAAUCAGCAAAAAUCAUGCGAAAAGCACCUGGGGCUAAUGCUCUACCUUCCCCUAGCAGAUCAACUACCAAUCCGCCACCAUAGCGAAGCUUGCACGCUGCAUCCCUGUAGUCCGACCCCAGCCACCAUGGAUCCGACCACCACGCCCUUGUACUACACAACAAGGCCGGCGGCGGAAACCCCUGCUGCUGACUUCUCCAUCCCGUCCACGCUCCUUUUCCACAUCCAUGACCA